UGGUGAUAAUGGCAGAGAGGUCACACCCGUUCCCAUGCCGAACACGGAAGUUAAGCUCUUUUACGCCGAUGGUAGUGAGGGGUUUCCCCUUGUGAGAGUAGGACGUUGCCAG
rnacentral:rRNA from 1 species